AUAUCACGUUGAAAAACACCAGUCCUUGUAUGAUCACUGAAGUAAAGCCGAGCCUGGUCAUUACUGAGAUGGGUGACCACUUGGGAAUACCAGGUGCUGUUA